AUUGAACGCUGGCGGCAUGCCUUACACAUGCAAGUCGAACGGUAACGGGCCUUCGGGUGCCGGCGAGUGGCGAACGGGUGAGUAAUGCAUCGGAACGUACCUUUCAGUGGGGGAUAACGUAGCGAAAGUUACGCUAAUACCGCAUAUUCUGUGAGCAGGAAAGCAGGGGAUCGCAAGACCUUGCGCUGAUUGAGCGGCCGAUGUCAGAUUAGCUAGUUGGUGAGGUAAAGGCUCACCAAGGCGACGAUCUGUAGCGGGUCUGAGAGGAUGAUCCGCCACACUGGAACUGAGACACGGUCCAGACUCCUACGGGAGGCAGCAGUGGGGAAUUUUGGACAAUGGGGGCAACCCUGAUCCAGCCAUGCCGCGUGAGUGAAGAAGGCCUUCGGGUUGUAAA
rnacentral:rRNA from 1 species